AUUCGGAUAAGAAGAGACUUGGCCAGGAUCCGCCACUGAAAUCCCUAAUAGCUUCAGAUAUAUAUUUUGUAAAAACUUCAGCGGGGAGCUUAGCUACUACACCCUCCGGGGACAUCUGAGACUUCACACCAAUUUGCUUACCCAAAUGAGGGAACAACAAAAGGGGUUUUCAGAUUUAAGGUUCCCGUAAAAGUACUUUGCAAAUUGUAUCAAAUGCAUCGGUUUUUUUGUCACACGGAAUACAUUGUCAUUAAACACAAAUAAAAUUACUAAAAUGUGUAAAGUUUCCAGACGCAAGAAUGCGUUUAUUGCUCUCGGUUUUUUUGCUGUGGCUGUCCCUGUAUUCACUUUCAUCUUUCAAAAUCAUUUUAAAAGCCGUGCAAUAUAUAAAUAUGUAAUAUCAUAUGGAAUCAUAUUGCUGUGGCCUAUUCUUCUGGCACCAACCAUAUAUUUCAUCUAUAUGAAAAAGAGAUAUAUCAGAUUUCUGGUGCCAUAUGCUUUCAUAUGGUUAGUUCUAAGUUCUUUAAUAUUUAUUUUUUUCCUACUUAAUAUGUUCCAAGUUUUGGAUUACAUCUACUUUUACCUAGAUUUUAAAAUUUUCUUCCCUCUAAUGGUGUGUGGUGUUUUUACAGGGUUUGUUAUUCCAGUUUCUUUUUAUUGUUAUUACAAAAGAAAAAUGUUGGCUUCGGGUGAAUGAAAAAAUUUGAAGUACAAAAAUUUUAAUUGGACUUAAAAGAAUAGGAAAAAAGGUUUAAAACGUGGCCAGGAAGAAGACCCGGCAUCGUCCCCCUUAAAGGAUUUGAAGGUGAUAAAUUGAUCGAUAGAAAGGCACUGGUAAAAUGUAUAGAUGUUACUGUUUAGUUGUUUAUAAAGGCUUGAAAAUUCUACUGCUUUUUUUUUUGAUAAAUAGUUUUCUUAGAGCAUGCCGUAAAUCAACAUUUAAUUUAUAAAUGUUAACUAUUUUAUUUGUGUACUGUUAAUAAUAGGGUGUUCUAAGAAAGAGUAAAAGGCCUGCAUCCCUAAAAAAACCUGGGGUUGGGUGUCUUUGGGCAGUUCAUAAGCAAGACGGGUGCUGGAGCGAUUAAUUUCAAUGUCGAGGGUAUGAAGAUGUGUCCCCUCUGGAACCGA